UACGUAGGGGGCAAGCGUUGUCCGGAAUUACUGGGCGUAAAGCGCAUGUAGGCGGAGGGGUGUGUCGAACGUGAAAGGCUGCGGCUCAACCGCAGAGCGCCGUUCGAAACUGCCUUUCUUUGAGGGCCGAAGAGGAGAGUGGAAUUCCCGGUGUAGCGGUGAAAUGCGUAGAGAUCGGGAGGAACACCCAUGGCGAAGGCAGCUCUCUGGUCGGUCUCUGACGCUGAGAUGCGAAAGCGUGGG
rnacentral:rRNA from 1 species